ACUAAUAACAAUAAAGUGCACAUCACCCCCGAGGCAGAUGUCCAACACAAUAUAUUCAAAUCUCUUAGUCACUGAGGAAACUGCAAGUUCAUGUACAGACAAGUAUUCUUUAACAUAAAUCAAUACCCUUCCCGUUUAGAUUUCCUAUCCAUUCUAAAUAGCUUGUAUCCAUCAAUAGCUACAUCUGAGUUAGAAACUUUCCCUGUAAGCCAAGAUUCUGUCAGGAUAAAGAUGUCAGGGGAGGCUUCAUUAAUCAUUAACAAAAUCCAAUUUAGGUAACAGACUCCUAAUAUUUAAGUGCAAUAUUCUUAAACCAUGAUGUAAUUGAAAGUCUUGUGGUGAUUUUAAAUCCGUUGUACUAAUAAUGGUAGGGGUAGACAAAGUCUCAGUUAGUUGAAUAUUGAUUUGUACAAGACUAUUUGCAGUGACACAUAAUAAUAAUGAAAUAAAAAAUAACGUUAAAAAAAAUACGUAGAAUGUGUAAAAUCAAGUAAAAUACAACAUUUUUAAAAGACGUGUAGCAGUGCAUAAGUGCGAAGCAAAGCGCAAAAAAAAAAAAAGUAGCAGGUAUAGCUAGUUAAAGGCUAAAGUGAAUAGAUAAGUUUUUAGUUUUCUCUUAAAAAAUAUUUAGUGAGCUGGCUUUCCUGAUCUCUAUAGGUUAUGUGUUGCAUAGCUUUGGGGCGUAAUUGACAAAGGCUGCAUCCCCGAUUUUCUUUCGACUGUUGCUGGGAACCUCCAAUAAACCAGCAGCAGAUGAUCGCAGUGUUCUUGAAGGCAAAUAGUUAAUUAGCAAUGUAGCUUGGUCCUAGCCCAUUAAGGGCUUUGUAUAUAAGGAGGAGGACCUUAAAAUCAAUUCUAAAUGUUACAGAAAGUGCAGAGCAGCUAAAACUGGACUAAUGUGCUCUGUCCUCUUGGUUCUGGUUAACAGCCGAGCUGCAGAAUUUUGAAUGAGCUGAAGUCUCUCAGUGGUUUUUUUUUUGGGAGGCCAGUGAAAAGUGCGUUACAGUAAUCGAGUCGGCUUGAAAUAAAGGCAUGAAUCAGUUUUUCAGCAUCUUUUUGAUUUAUGAAUGGCCGUACUUUAGCUAUGUUUCUAAGGUGGAAAAAUGAUGUUUUCAUCACAUUGUUAAUGUGGGACUUGAAGUUUAGAUCUUAAUCUAAGAUGACACCAAGACUUGUAACCUCAGACUUAAUCCAGGGAGUUGAUUUCCCCAGAUUAUUAAACAGAAUUUCUCUUUUUUGUUUUAGGGCUGACUAGUAAGACUUCAGUUUUGUCCUCGUUUAACUUUAAGAAAUUAUGGCUCAUCCAUUUAUUUAUUGCCAAAAGACAGGUAGUAAUGGAGUUCAUAGCUGCAGCAUCAUUUGGUUCCGCAGAGAUGUACAGUUGUGUGUCAUCCGCAUAACUAU